rnacentral:rRNA from 1 species
GACGAACGUUGGCGGCGUGCUUAACACAUGCAAGUCGAACGGAAAGGCCCUGCUUUUGUGGGGUGCUCGAGUGGCGAACGGGUGAGUAACACGUGAGUAACCUGCCCUUGACUUUGGGAUAACUUCAGGAAACUGGGGCUAAUACCGGAUAGGGGCUCCUGCUGCAUGGUGGGGGUUGGAAAGUUUCGGCGGUUGGGGAUGGACUCGCGGCUUAUCAGCUUGUUGGUGGGGUAGUGGCUUACCAAGGCUUUGACGGGUAGCCGGCCUGAGAGGGUGACCGGCCACAUUGGGACUGAGAUACGGCCCAGACUCCUACGGGAGGCAGCAGUGGGGAAUAUUGCACAAUGGGCGGAAGCCUGAUGCAGCAACGCCGCGUGCGGGAUGACGGCCUUCGGGUUGUAAACCGCUUUCGCCUGUGACGAAGCGUGAGUGACGGUAAUGGGUAAAGAAGCACCGGCUAACUACGUGCCAGCAGCCGCGGUGAUACGUAGGGUGCGAGCGUUGUCCGGAUUUAUUGGGCGUAAAGGGCUCGUAGGUGGUUGAUCGCGUCGGAAGUGUAAUCUUGGGGCUUAACCCUGAGCGUGCUUUCGAUACGGGUUGACUUGAGGAAGGUAGGGGAGAAUGGAAUUCCUGGUGGAGCGGUGGAAUGCGCAGAUAUCAGGAGGAACACCAGUGGCGAAGGCGGUUCUCUGGGCCUUUCCUGACGCUGAGGAGCGAAAGCGUGGGGAGCGAACAGGCUUAGAUACCCUGGUAGUCCACGCUGUAAACGGUGGGUACUAGGUGUGGGGUCCAUUCCACGGGUUCCGUGCCGUAGCUAACGCUUUAAGUACCCCGCCUGGGGAGUACGGCCGCAAGGCUAAAACUCAAAGGAAUUGACGGGGCCCCGCACAAGCGGCGGAGCAUGCGGAUUAAUUCGAUGCAACGCGUAGAACCUUACCUGGGUUUGACAUGGAUCGGGAGUGCUCAGAGAUGGGUGUGCCUCUUUUGGGGUCGGUUCACAGGUGGUGCAUGGCUGUCGUCAGCUCGUGUCGUGAGAUGUUGGGUUAAGUCCCGCAACGAGCGCAACCCUUGUUCACUGUUGCCAGCACGUUAUGGUGGGGACUCAGUGGAGACCGCCGGGGUCAACUCGGAGGAAGGUGGGGAUGACGUCAAGUCAUCAUGCCCCUUAUGUCCAGGGCUUCACGCAUGCUACAAUGGCUGGUACAGAGAGUGGCGAGCCUGUGAGGGUGAGCGAAUCUCGGAAAGCCGGUCUCAGUUCGGAUUGGGGUCUGCAACUCGACCUCAUGAAGUCGGAGUCGCUAGUAAUCGCAGAUCAGCAACGCUGCGGUGAAUACGUUCCCGGGGCU